UACGUAGGGGGCUAGCGUUGUCCGGAAUCAUUGGGCGUAAAGAGCGCGUAGGCGGCCAGAUAAGUCCGGUGUGAAAGUCACAGGCUCAACCUGUGAAUGCCGCUGGAAACUGUCUGGCUAGAGUCCGGAAGGGGCGAGUGGAAUUCCUGGUGUAGCGGUGAAAUGCGCAGAUAUCUGGAGGAAUACCGGUGGCGAAGGCGGCAUCCUGGACCAUAACUGACGCUGAGGCGCGAAAGCUAGGGGAGCAAACGGG
rnacentral:rRNA from 1 species